rnacentral:rRNA from 1 species
AUGGGAACGCGAAGAACCUUACCUAGACUUGACAUCUCCUGAAUAGUGUAGAGAUACAUGAAGCCCUUCGGGGCAGGAAGACAGGUGGUGCAUGGUUGUCGUCAGCUCGUGUCGUGAGAUGUUGGGUUAAGUCCCGCAACGAGCGCAACCCUUAUUACUAGUUGCUACCAUUAAGUUGAGCACUCUAGUGAGACUGCCCGGGGUUAACCGGGAGGAAGGCGGGGAUGACGUCAAAUCAUCAUGCCCCUUAUGUCUAGGGCAACACACGUGCUACAAUGGUGAGUACAGAUGGAUGCGAUACCGCAAGGUGGAGCCAAACUCUAAAACUCAUCCCAGUUCGGAUUGUAGGCUGCAACUCGCCUACAUGAAGUUGGAGUUGCUAGUAAUCGCGAAUCAGAAUGUCGCGGUGAAUACGUUCCCGGGUCUUGUACACACCG